UACGAAGGGGGCUAGCGUUGUUCGGAAUUACUGGGCGUAAAGCGCGUGUAGGCGGGUCUUUAAGUCAGGGGGUGAAAUGCCAAGGCUCAACCUUGGAACUGCCUUUGAUACUGGAGACCUUGAGUCCGGGAGAGGUGAGUGGAAUUGCGAGUGUAGAGGUGAAAUUCGUAGAUAUUCGCAAGAACACCAGUGGCGAAGGCGGCUCACUGGCCCGGAACUGACGCUGAGAUGCGAAAGCGUGGGGAGCAAACAGG
rnacentral:rRNA from 1 species